AUGGCGUCCUCCACCCAGGGCCAGGUCAUCACCUGCAAAGCGGCGGUGGCGUACGAGGCGAACAAGCCGCUGGUGGUCGAGGACGUGCAGGUGGCGCCGCCGCAGGCCGGCGAGGUCCGCAUCAAGAUCCUCUCCACCGCGCUCUGCCACACCGACUACUACACCUGGAGCGGCAAGGAUCCCGAGGGUCUCUUUCCUUGCAUUCUCGGUCACGAGGCUGCUGGAAUUGUUGAGAGUGUCGGCGAAGGGGUGACCGACGUGCAGCCUGGGGACCAUGUCAUCCCUUGCUACCAAGCGGAAUGCAGGGACUGCAAGAUGUGCAACAGCGGGAAGACCAACCUCUGCGGCAAAGUUCGCGGCGCCACUGGGGUCGGGGUCAUGAUGAGCGACCGCAAGAGCCGCUUCUCGGUUAAUGGGAAGCCCAUCUACCAUUUCAUGGGGACGUCCACGUUCAGUCAGUACACUGUUGUGCAUGACGUCAGUGUUGCCAAGAUCAACCCACAGGCGCCCCUGGAUAAGGUCUGCCUGCUCGGCUGUGGUGUUUCUACUGGCCUUGGAGCAGUAUGGAAUACUGCAAAGGUUGAAGCAGGUUCCAUUGUUGCUGUUUUUGGGCUUGGCACAGUCGGACUUGCAGUUGCUGAGGGGGCAAAAUCAGCUGGUGCUUCUCGGAUUAUUGGCAUUGACAUUGAUACCAAGAAGUUUGAUGUUGCUAAGAACUUUGGAGUCACAGAGUUUGUGAACCCAAAAGACCAUGACAAACCAAUCCAGCAGGUCCUUGUUGACCUUACAGAUGGUGGUGUGGAUUACAGUUUUGAGUGCAUCGGAAAUGUUUCUAUCAUGAGGUCUGCACUCGAAUGCUGCCACAAGGGCUGGGGUACCUCUGUUGUCGUUGGCGUAGCUGCGUCUGGCCAGGAGAUUGCCACACGGCCAUUCCAGCUAGUCACUGGCCGUGUCUGGAAGGGAACAGCUUUCGGCGGCUUCAAGAGCCGAAGCCAGGUCCCGUGGCUCGUCGAGAAGUACAUGAACAAGGAAAUCAAGGUGGACGAGUACAUCACCCACAACAUGAACCUUACCGACAUCAACAAGGCGUUCGACCUGCUGCACGAAGGCGGCUGCCUGCGGUGCGUGCUGGCCAUGGAGCACUGA
rnacentral:rRNA from 1 species